UACGAAGGGGGCUAGCGUUGUUCGGAUUCAUUGGGCGUAAAGGGUGCGUAGGCGGCGCGGUAAGUCGGGUGUGAAAUCUCGGAGCUUAACUCCGAAACUGCAUUCGAUACUGCGGUGCUUGAGGACUGGAGAGGAGACUGGAAUUCAUGGUGUAGCAGUGAAAUGCGUAGAGAUCAUGAGGAAGACCAGUGGCGAAGGCGGGUCUCUGGACAGUUCCUGACACUGAGGCACGAAGGCCAGGGGAGCAAAACGGG
rnacentral:rRNA from 1 species